GCUUCCGUUCAUGAGGGUGUGAACUUGCAGGAAAGCGUGGUGGGUCUUGGGAUAUUUGGGGUUAAGCGUCCUUGGGUUUGAAUAGUACUGGGCUGGGUGACCUCCCGGGAAGUCCAAACUUAGGAGCU
rnacentral:rRNA from 1 species